UGGCGAGACGGCGUCGCCGUGAGGUUCUUUUGGCCCUAGUAUUAAAGGAAGAGGUAUCCAUGGCAAAGACUAGCCGAGAACCUCCGCUGCUGCUGCAGCAAUUACAGUUAGCUCCUUAAUAAUAGCUAGUGUCAGAAAGACCGACCUGCCGCCGUCGCGCGAGCAGCUCGCCGGCCGGAGUCUCUCUCGAUCCGCCGGUGCACGCUCCUACCUCCUCCGCCGGUCUGUGGGAUUGGCAAAAUAUUUUGAAGGGCUUCCUGUCGGGUUUCCGCUGGCCCCGCUGUUGGGAUCUCGAUUAAAAUUAGGCAUGAUAUGCGAAAGGGCCCGUAGCUUACUGGUUAUAUAAGGAUCUAGUAGAUUCAAUUUAUCGUUGGAGCGAAUUUUUUAGAAUUCUAAUAGCUUUGUGCUCUCAGCGUGAGAUGACGUGCCCAUUGAGACCCCAGAAGAGGGGGCGUUGUAAUGUGUUCUCAUAAAAAAAAUUAGGCAUGAUAUCCGAAUUAUCUCCGGUAAGACCCCAGAAGAGGGAUAAAAGAAAUUAUAUAUCUUUGGUGAGAACGAAGAAGAGAUAAUUAGAAA